UCCCAGUCCUUUUCUUAAAUUUUUAUUUACUUAUUGAUUUUCUAUUUACUUAUUUUCUCGUUUUAUUGUCGAAUAAAAAGUCCUGGAGUCCAGGUUUAAAAAUUGGGCGAGCUACCUUUCAAAUUUAAGUUCGUGUGAAAAUUCGAAACGGCAGGGUUUUAAGUCAACGGCACUUCUUGAGAAAAAAAAUUAUUUUUGAGUAUAUAUAUGUAAAAACACUUUCCAGUCUACCACGUCGCAUAGGGUCAAUGAAAUUCGGCUUUAUGAUUUGUUUAUUUGUACAUCUUGUCUCUGUGGUAGCUUUGGUUUCUGUGGUUUAAACAUAUCUAGCUAGAUCGUUACCACACUGCUUUGCACAUGCCUGACAACGCUACUAAGAUGUUAGAGAAGAACAAAAGCGAUUUAGAGACAAAUAAUUAAUUAACGUGAUUAUUACACAAUAGUCUCUCUAAAUAGCGCACACCAUUAGUCUAAAAAAAUCUGUUUGAUAAUUAGAGGUGUCCGCCUUUUGGAAAGUUGAUAAUUUCAGGCUUAUUUUUGAUAUAUUGAGUAUAUGUUUUGUCUCUUUUCAGUUUUUUUAUGAGUGGGAGAGGGGAGGGCUGUAAGAUUGGUCCACACAAAAAGAGGAUAACAAUAAUGCUAGUCAAUUAUACACAAGUUUUUUUUUGAGUAAAAACAUAACAAGAAAUAUUGAGAUGAUUUCCAUCAAAAUCAACAUAAAUAACAAAAAUAUAAUAAUGUUUGUUUGUCCAGAAAAAGAGCUCAAUUUUACUACUUUUUAGAAUGUAAAAUAGCAUGCAAAAACAAAACACUGAUACUGAAUUUAACCAGAAGGUUAGCCGUGGGAUAGAAAGCCAGGGUUAGCCUGUGAUAUAUAUUUUAGCCUUUGGUAACUAUUUCAUGAUAUUCUAGCACAACGCAACGCUUUAAACUUUUCAACGUUCGUAAAUGGAACCAAAACCUUAAGCCAUACUAGUUUUUGCUGACGUCAAUUUUUCUAAUUAUCCGGACCUUGGCGGGACGUUGCAUUGAUAGUAACAACAUCGCAGAAACUAUUAAGCAUUUUUAUCGUGGUUUACAACAUUUUAGCACAGGCGAUUCUGUUUAGCAAUUUCGAGAAAUGGUGAACAAAAAGGUCAUUUUCCUAAAAGUUAUGAACAGGAUCUAGUACUACAUGGUUAUUUUUUGUGAAAAUACAAAAAUUAUGACCAGAUUGGUCAUUAUUCUUAUUUCUUUACUGUUCCAAUCCAUAGACCUAUUGUAUUUAACCUGAUAUCCCAGCCUGAUACUCUUUUAAAGGAAAAUUGUUAUAAAAUAAGGACCAUGUACUAGUUUCUCAUG